rnacentral:rRNA from 1 species
UACGUAGGGGGCUAGCGUUGUCCGGAAUCAUUGGGCGUAAAGCGCGUGUAGGCGGCCCGGUAAGUCCGCUGUGAAAGUCGGGGGCUCAACCCUCGGAUGCCGGUGGAUACUGUCGGGCUCGAGUACGGAAGAGGCGAGUGGAAUUCCUGGUGUAGCGGUGAAAUGCGCAGAUAUCAGGAGGAACACCAAUUGCGAAGGCAGCUCGCUGGGACGUUACUGACGCUGAGACGCGAAAGCGUGGGGAUCAAACAGG